rnacentral:rRNA from 1 species
CAGUAGCCGCGGUAAUACGUAGGGUGCAAGCGUUAAUCGGAAUUACUGGGCGUAAAGCGUGCGCAGGCGGUUAUAUAAGUCAGAUGUGAAAUCCCCGGGCUCAACCUGGGAACUGCAUUUGAGACUGUAUGGCUAGAGUGUGUCAGAGGGGGGUAGAAUUCCACGUGUAGCAGUGAAAUGCGUAGAUAUGUGGAGGAAUACCGAUGGCGAAGGCAGCCCCCUGGGAUAACACUGACGCUCAUGCACGAAAGCGUGGGGAGCAAACAGGAUUAGAUACCCGUGUAGUCCCUGUCUCUUAUAA